GUCACAUUACCACGUGCACUCUUCCAUUUUAAUUUUUCUUUGGAAAUGGCUAGUCGAGUUUUCUCUCUUGAUUCCCAACUAAAAUUUCUCAAAAGGAAUGCCACGCGGUAGCAGCAACCAUCUGCACUAUAAUGAAAUGGGAAAUAUAUGUUUCACUGGUUUUUACCACAAAUCUUACAUGUGUCGAAAAGUAAGAAAUAAAAGUAAACCGUCGAAAUGGUGGAUGUCAAUCUCCAAAGGGUUGGUGGACCGGACUGGACAUGAAUGGAGUUGUAUUUAAAACUUCUGAGACAGUUGAGGUAUAAUCCAGAUGAAAUGCAAUUGAAGCGAAUAUAUAUUUCUAGCUAGAAAGGUAUAAUCCAAAUGAAGUUCAAUUGAAGCGACUAAAAAGAGUAGUUCGGUGCAACCAACCCUGAAAUAUGUGACACCACAUGAAUCACGUCCAAGAUUGAUGGCUAAAAUAAACCCGGUGUGAAUUGCUGAGAAAGUCAAAAACAACAGAAGAUGUUCUUGUGACUUUCAAACUGGCGAAGUGCUACAGAACUUGCAAUAUAGAUUUUGAACAUGGACUGAAUAAAUGGUUUCCAACUUUGCUGCAUUUUGGUUCAAAACGACCGGGUUGAAAUGCAUUCAAAAUAUCGUCAAAUUUUAAAACCAAAAUGGUAUGUGGAUCCAAAAGUAUGAAGCAAGAAAGGAAUGUCACUUAUUAAAAAAGUUAUGUAAAUGGUUUGAAUUACAUCGAAUGAUAAUCACAAUUUGGAAAUGACUGGCAAAAUUGAAGAUAUCUAUCUUAUUUUUGGAAUAUUUGGAUUCCUAGUUGAAAUUAAAAUGGACCACAAUGCAAUGAAGAUAUAAGGCGUUAAGUGUGGAAUGAAGUUCUUCAGUCAGCCUCGAAAAGGCUUAAACGGAAAUGAUUUCAACUGAUGGCUUACCCGUAGAACUUUCCUGCCUAAAAAUGAUUGCAAAACCUCAAAAACUGCUUGUCUUUAUUCGGCUUUGGGAUUCACAUGAGAUUAGUGAUACCCGACGGAUUGUGAAGCCCCCACUCGAUGCUAUAAAUAAAUCUGAUGUAGUCUUAUCGAUGAAUAAAAAUACGAAAGAUUUUAUUUAAUAUAA